UGAGGAGUAGCUCAGUGGUAGAACAUUUGCCUAGCAUGUGUAAGAUACUGGGUUCUAUCCCCAGUAUCUCAA
rnacentral:tRNA from 1 species